GAGGAAGGCAGCUGUUACCCAAGCCCUGCACCUCCAUCUUCCCAGAGUCUCGUGGGAAACAGAUUUCAAACAACAACAGACAGCAAGACUGAGAAACUACGAAAGAUCAGCCUGGUAUAUUUGGAAAUAUUUCUUCUUCUCUCUGUCUCUGUGGGCUGGCAAAGAUGCCAGAAAUAGGAAAUGAUUCUCCUUUUGUUGGCAUGAGGAAGGGUGGAGUUGGGCUGGAGGGGUUGGGCUUGUCACUAGUCCCUGGCAUAUCCACGCUGGAGCAGCUACAGCUCCCUGCCUUUGGCACUUACGUGCUGUGUGACCCUGAGCAAGUUAUGGCACCUCUCUGGGCCUCAGUUUCCUUUUUUGUUUUUGGUUUUACUCCCAAACUUAUCGUUAAAUGACCUCAGUUUUCUCACUUGUGUUACUGGCAUUUUUAAAACCUACUUUGCUUUAGGGUAGUGAUGGGAGUUAGAGACGGUGGGGAUUUAUGGCAAGGGGAGAGAACUGACUUUUUAAGGACCAACUGAGCUGAAGCUGGGAGUAGUGAGAGCUCCACAACUGCUUCCAACCAGGUCCAGGGACAGUCUGCUCACCAGGGGCCCUCCCAGAGACCGCGAAAGUACAGAGAUUUCUUCCUAGCAAUAAGACAAGUGAAUGUCAGCAUUUGCAGGCAAAAAACAUGCUUUUAGAUCUCUGCUUCUUCAUCUGUAAAGUGGAAGUAAGGAUUAAAAAUCAGCAACAAAGGGCAGGCACAGUGGCCCACGCCCAUAAUCCCAGCACUUUGGGAUGCCAAGGUAGAUGGAUUGCUCAAGCCCAGGAGUUUGAGACCAUCCUGGGCAACAUGGCGAAACCCCAUCUCUACUAAAAAUACAAAAAUUAGUCGGGCAUAGUGGUGCAUGCCUGUGGUCCCAGCUACUUGGGAGGCUGAGGCAGGAGAAUCGCUUGAACCUGGGAGGCGGAGGUUGCAGUGAGUCAAGAUUGUGCCACUGCACUCUAGCCUGAACAGAGCGAGACCCCGUCUCAAAAAAAAAAAACAAAUAUAUAUAUAUAUAUAUAUAUUUUCAACAAAACAACAAAAACAAUCCCAGAUAUUGGGGCUUUCCUAAGUAUCAGGCGUGGUGGUAGAAGGCAGCUUAUCUCCACCCUUCACUUGACCCAAGAAUCAAAGAACCUGAAACUGAGACUUGGAGGCUUGAAGUCACUGGUGCAACCCUAGGGGCCAGAACUAGAUUCGAAGCUGGCCCUUCCAGAUGGCACAGCUUGGUCUGUCUCUGAUGACCCUGGGGCUGCUCUGAGACAUUAAAAAUCACCUCGAUCAUACAGUAAGCUGCCACCUGAGGCUCUGGAGGUCACCCUGAGUUUCCCCAGCCCCCAGGGAGGUGGGUGCAGCCUGGCCUUCCCUGCUGAGCGAGCUCACCACCUUCCUCCCUCCUGCCUCCAGCAGGCGCGAAAUGAAGGCAGCCACUCAGGCCUCCCUGACACACUCUCAGGCGGUGAGUGCCCUUCUCCACCCCUUUCCUAAUUGAAUCUUAUUAACAGGAGACUACAGUGUCUGUUUAAUGGGCACCAUAGCACCAGAGGGUCUAAGACCAGCUUCAGACCUUGCAGGCAGAUUGACAGAGGGAUGUAGGAUCUGGAAUUCAAUCUCAGAAGAGCAAUUUUCCAAGGAUGAUCCUCUGUCCACUCAGAAGCAGGAAAAGUCCUCCUGGGGCUAAUCCAGAAAUGCCAGGCCCCCCUCCUGCUUCCCUGGGGGAGAGAUACACAGUGCAACAGGCUGCCAUUUAUGAGUAUAACCGAAGGGCUCCUUGCUCGUGAUACUCUGAAUAAGUUAUUAAGGGCUACAUAUUAUUUGGAAAUCAUAAACAAACUUUAGCAUUCUUCCCAAGGGAAGGUGGGAACAAACAGGGAAGGGGGGCCGUGGGGUCUUCUGCUCCCCCUAAAUGAGCCACAACCAAAAGGCAUUGACAAGCCCUGUCCUCGAGGGUUUGUGGGUGAAAACCCAGGUCCUUUGCUGGCUGCGGGGUUGUGUGUGACAGAUGGCUACAGGUGGAGGGCAAGAAAAUAACAAUGCUGCAACAAUAAAUAUUGACGGUUUGCAUUAGUACGGGGUGUCAGAGAUCACAAAAUAUCUUCUCUGACUCUUCCAACAGCUUCUUAAGGUACUAGCACAAUAGGCUCACAAUAGACCACUGAGGUGGAGAUUUUUCUACCCAUUUGAUAGAGGGAGUAACUGAGCCUCAGAGAGGUGAAAUAAAUUGCCCAAGCAAGUUACUUUGCCUCUCUAAGCUUCAGUUUGUCUGUCUCUAAAAUAGAGAUAAUUAUACCUAGCCCCUCAGUGUUUUUGAGGAAUGAGAGAUCACCUAAGCUACCUGACACAUAGUAUGGAGAUUGUCCUUUCCAAAGAUGGUCACACCAAAUACUUCCCAUUCCAUGUGCCCUUUUCACAGUGUGGCAUCAACACUCCACCAUCAAGAGGGGCAUUGAUGUCUCUUCCCCUUCACCCUGGGUGGAGCUUCGUAAGGGCCUCAAUAGUAGAAUAUGGUAGAAGGACACAGCACGAUGUUCAAGGCUAAGUCAUAGACGGGGGCUCGAGUUCCCCCCACACGCUCUCGGGACAUGUACCUGGGAACCAGCCACCAUGUUGUAGGAAGCCGAGGCCCCGUGCUCCAGCUGACAGCCUCAGCUCAGAUCUCAGCCAACAGCUAGCAAAUCUCACCGGGCAUGGGAGAGAACAAGCCUGCAGACAGUUCCAGCCCCCAGCCUGCCAGCCUCCCAGCUGAGGCCUCAGAGAAUGUGGAGCAGAGACAGCCCACCUGCUCUGUGCUCUCUCUGAAUUCCAGAGCCACAAAAUCCACGAGAAGAAAAAAACUAAUGUUUCAUGCCCCUGCGUUUUGGGGUAAUUUGUUAUGCAGUCAUAGUAACUGGAACACACUUGCAAGUGAUUUCAAAGGGGGACUGUUACAGUUGCUGGUGAUAGUGGUAGGAUUAAACCAGUGAGAAUUAAAACACCUGAGAUUGCUAUAUGGAGUGUUACAGGAGAGUUUAGAAAUGCUUUAUCUAGGUAGGGCAUGGUGGCUCAUGCCUGUAAUCCUAGCACUUUUCGAGACCAAGGCAGGCGGUUCAUUUGAGGCCAGUAGUUCGAGACCAGCCUGGCCAACAUGGCGAAACCCCGUUUCUACUAAAAAUACAAAAAUUAGCUGGGCACGAUGGCAGGUGCCUAUAAUCCCAGCUAUUCUGGGAAGCCGAGGCAUGAAAAUCACUUGAAUCCAGGAGGCGGAGGUCGCAGUGAGCUGAGAUUGAGCCACUGUACUCCAGCCUGGGCGACAGAGUGAGACUCCAUCUAAACCAAAACAAACAAACAAAAAAAGUGCUUUAUCUACUCUUAGGUCACACACUAUGGCACAAAUGGAAUAGAAGGGCAGUGAUAUGGGAGGGUAUUUUUGUUUAUGAAGCACCUACUAUGUACCAGGGAAUGACCACAUAGAUAUGCAAUACAUACACAUACACAUACACAUGGACAUUCCUCUCCACAAUCCCCCACAAAAGGCCUUGUUCUUUCUGUAAAAGCACAAGGCAAAGUGAUUUUCCCAAGGUCACGCCCCUAGCGUGUGAUGUGAUGGAGCCUGGAGUGCACCUGUGCCCGCUGACUCCACAGCCCGUCCCUGCCCCUCUGUCACCCCAUGACUCCCUUGGGAGCAGUUUUCAAGAGACCCCAGGUUUCUUCAUGAUGUCUGCUUCCACUGCUUUCCAGACACCCUCAGCUCAGUCUGUACCCCUCUCUGGAUUAUGCACCUGCUUGUUUAUUUAAGUCUUUCUGAAUCAAUAUCUCCUCUCUGCUGACACUUGGGAUAAUAAGUCCCAUAAAUCAAAUUGGCAACUGAGUCUUGAGCCCCUGUGUGUGCCUCUCUGAGUGCUGCAGGGAUGGGUGUUAGUCACUCUCAGUCCUAGCGAAGCUGUGCGUUCACAGACAUCCCAGCACUUGCUAUGCAGAGGCUCUGGAUACACCACUGUGCCGAGGUGACUCAGACACGGUCCCUUCACUGCAGAAAAGCGAUGCCAGAUUUCCUCAACUACAAAAAUACAGAACAGAAAGUGAAAGAUGUGUUUUAAAUGAGAGACAGUAAUAAAAGGCAGAGGAAAUAACGGUGGGAGGUUUUUUAGUAGAGUUGAGAUGACAAAGUAUAACAACAGCAAAAGUAAAUGCCGAUAUUACAAUUAAAUGGUCACACAACAAGACACGACAAAAAACAUGGUAAAGUUGUUCCCUGCUGUGUAGGGUGAUACUCACUCCUUUUUCCUCUGACUCUUUUCACCAUAUUUUCCCUUGGCCUGAUUUUUCUUCCUUUAUCCUGCCAUGCUGUUAACAUAAUUGUAAGCACCUUGAAAAUCCUCUUUGAGACAAAGAGGAGCAUAAAUAAAUAAACAGCCCUGCUGUCUGUCUGUGUGGUAAGGUUGGUUUUUUUAAAAAAAUGCUUUUUCCUUAGUGCAAAUCAUCCCAGCUCUGUGGGAAAGUGGCAUGAUGUGGAAGUGCAGGGAGAAGAUGAGGUACAGUGUUAGCCUCACUGCUCAGAGAGAGUUGCUGUAAGAGUGGUGGUGGCCUUUUCAACACACAUAAAGGAAGCAUGUGCCCUCUCCUUCCAUGGCACAUGUCUCCUCUGUCCUUGCCUCCUGGCCAGCUCUUCCUCUUCCACAGGACUCCCCGCUGGGGCCUUCCCUCGCCCCCAGCCCCUUAGCCACUCUCCGCGCCUCCUGGGCCAGGCGGAAGCUCUGCUUCCGCAUGCUGGGAGCACCGCAUGCCUCUUCUGCAGAACACUUCCUCCGCCUGUAAUUUAACAUUUAUUCAUGUGCAUCCUCCAUUAACAUGUCUCCUAACCCAAGGGUAAGCUCUCUAAAAUCAGGGACUGGAACCGUUCUUAUUCACUGCCGCAUCUCUAGCGCCAGGAGGAAUAAACAAAGAUCUUGCGGUUUUGUUGUCAUCGUGCUUUGGUUUUCGGGAAAAAAAAUCUCUCGCUUUUUUACAUAACAGAAUAUUAUAAUCAUUUUCCCAUGCCAUGAAACAUUUUUCUUCUUUAAAUUGAUAUAUUAUAGUUUCACAGUUGUACAUAAAACACUUUUCUUUCUUGAAUUUUAAUUAUAGAUUCGGGGGAUACACGUGCAGGUUUGUUGUGAGGGUGUAAUGCGUGAUGCUGACGUUUGAGCUUCUAUUGAUCCCAUCACUGAUAGAGUGAACAUAGUACCCAAAAAGAAGAUUUUCAGCCUUUGCCCCACUCCCUCCUUCCUUUUGGAGUCCCCAGUAUCUAUUAUUCCUGUCUUUAUGUCUGUGUCUACCCGGGGAUUAGCUCCCACUUAGAAGUGAGAACAUGUGAUAUUUGGUUUUCUGUUUCCGCAUUAAUUUGCUUAGCAUAAUGGCCUCCAGCUGUAUCCAUCUUGCUGUAAAGGACAUGAUUUCAUCCUUUGUUAUGGCUGUGUAAUAUUCCAAGGUGUAUACGUAGCACACUGUCUUUAUCUAAUCUGCUGUUGUUGGGCACCAAGGUUGUUUCCACACCUUUGCUAUUGUGAAUAGUGCGGCAAUAAAUGUACAAGUGCAGGUCUCUUUAUGGUAGAAUACUUUAUUUUCCUUUGUGUAUGCAUCCAGCAGUGGGAUUGCUGGGUCAAAUGAUGGUUCUAUUUUUAGUUAUUUAAGAAAUCUCCAAAGUGCUUUCCACAGGGGCUAAAUUAAUUUAUAUUUCCACCAACAGUGUAAAAGCAUUCCCUUUUCUCUGCAGCCUUGCCAGCAUCUGUUAUUUUUUUACUUUUUAGUAAUAGCUAUUCUGACUGGUACGAGGUGACAUCUCAUUGUGGUUUAAUUUGCAUUUCUCUGAUGAUUAGUGAUGCUGAGCAUUUCAAAAACAUUUUUCUAGAAAGGCUAUACAGUUUUCUAGGUUAUGGCUAAGUCGGGAUAGAUUUCAUCAAAGCCAUGUUGUCAGAUAUUUAAGAAGGGUACUUGCUUCCCUGCAUGCUUGUUUGUGUUUAGCGGAAGGCAGAGUCCGCCUCUGCUAUGGGCAGACCUGUUUUAUUCUCUACCCCUGAACCACACCCAUGCCCAGAUGUCAUUUUUCAUGAAUGGACAGGUAUAAGGGAGACUGUAUCUAUAAGCACAAAGUUUGGGGACCAGAACAGGUGGAUAGAGAUGGCAACAUCAUAGAAGUGGGAGAUGGUGACAGGUUGGCAAUUGCUCAACCCUGUCCCAGGCCUGACUUGAGCCUUAGUGAGUGAGAGAGAGCAAGAGAGAGAAAGCUGUUGUUAGGGCUUGUGGGACUCAGAACACAAGAAAUGCCACUUUGGGACCUACGAAGAGGGUGUUUCCACUUCUGCUUAGCUGUGGCCUUGGGCAGUGGCCCUGACAGAUAAUGGCCAUCAUUAUCAUCUAAAAUAGCUGCAGCAAAGGUAGACUCCUGUGUGAAUCGGUGUCCCUAGGUGUGCUGCAGCUGGCUCACACUGGCACCGUGAGAGCCUUUGCAAGCCAAGUGUUCAACCAUCAGGAGCUGAAAAUCCACCACAGUGAUGGGAGUAGCUAUACUGUGGAAAUCUACAAACAAUACACAUCAGGGCUUUUGUCUUUUUGGAGAGCUGUUUUGCCAGCACACCACUUUAGAGGAUACACUUCAACUGGGAAACCUGAGGAGGUAUUAGGAAUGAAGGUGUGGACAGGUUAUAGGAAACCACAGGGAACAGUGACCUAGGGGCUCGCAAUGUUGGUUGAGGGCUGAGGGAAGGGAGCUCUGUCCAGGAUCAGCAGGAGAAUCUUCUUGAGAGGGGAUGCUCCCAGCCUGGGGAGACCCUCAGGGAAGGAACUGGGGAAUGGACUGCUAUGCUCACUCUCCUGGAAUGUGUUGAUGAAAAAGCCAAACUCUGCAAAUUAUUUGAAGAGAUUUGUUCUGAGCCAAAUGUGAGGACCAUGACCU
rnacentral:lncRNA from 10 species